UUUCCGUAGGUGAACCUGCGGAAGGAUCAUUAUUGAAAUAAACCUGAUGGGCUGUUGCUGGCUCUCUAGGGAGCAGGUGCACGCCCUGUCAUCUUUAUAUCUCCACCUGUGCACCUUUUGUAGACCUUCCCAGGUCUAUGUUGCUUCAUUUACCCCAAUGUAUGUCUAUAGAAUGUUUGUGCAUAUGAAAUAUAUACAACUUUCAGCAACGGAUCUCUUGGCUCUC
rnacentral:misc_RNA from 1 species